rnacentral:rRNA from 1 species
GAAAGUAAUGAAGGGCGUACGGUGGAUGCCUAGGCUCUUACAGGCGAUGAAGGACGUGAUAAGCUGCGAAAAGCCGCGGUGAGGCGCAAAUGGCCCUUGACCCGCGGAUCUCCGAAUGGGACAACCCAAUAUCUUGAAGAGAUAUUAUCCCGCCGGUGCGGGAGGCGAACGCGGGGAACUGAAACAUCUUAGUACCCGCAGGAAAAGAAAAUAAAGAAUGAUUCCCCCAGUAGUGGCGAGCGACCGGGGAAGAGCCCAAACCGACGUUGUCUCGGCAUCGUCGGGGUUGUAGGACCGCGCCAUCGCAAGAAAGGCCGUGAGUGGAAGCGACUGGAAAGCCGCGCCAUAGAGGGUGACAGCCCCUUACACGAAGCAGCCCGAAGCGUAGCGGACUCCUGAGUAGCGCGGGACACGAGUAAUCCUGUGUGAAUCCGCCGGGCCCAUCCGGCAAGGCUAAAUACUCGUAAGAGACCGAUAGUGAACCAGUACCGUGAGGGAAAGGUGAAAAGUACCCCUUGCAGGGGAGUGAAAGAGUUCCUGAAACCGUACGCCUACAAGCGGUCGGAGCAUCUUGAAUGAUGUGACGGCGUGCCUUUUGCAUAAUGAACCUACGAGUUGCCGUCACCAGCGAGGUUAAGUGCGAUGACGCACCGAGCCGCAGCGGAAGCGAGUCUUAAAAGGGCGCGAUAGUUGGUGGAGGCAGACGCGAAACCGAGUGAUCUACACUUGUCCAGGAUGAAGUCCCGGUAACACGGGAUGGAGGUCCGCACCAAUAAGCGUUGAAAAGCUUCUGGAUGAGGUGAGUGUAGGAGUGAAAGGCCAAUCAAACUCGGAGAUAGCUCGUACUCCCCGAAAGGCAUUUAGGUGCCGCCUGUGGCGUUCCCGACGUGAGGUAGAGCGACUGAUAGGAUGCGAGGGCUUCACCGCCUAUCAAGUCCUGACAAACUCCGAAUGCACGUCGGCCAAGCCAUGGAGUAAGGGCAUGGGUGCUAAGGUCCGUGCCCGAGAGGAGAAGAAUCCAGACCACCGGCUAAGGUCCCGAAAUACUGGUUAAGUUAGACUAACGCAGUCCGGCCCCCAAGACAGCUAGGAUGUUGGCUUGGAAGCAGCCAUUCAUUCAAAGAGUGCGUAACAGCUCACUAGUCGAGGAGCUGGGCGUGGAUAAUAAUCGGGUAUGAAACCAGUUACCGAAGCCGUGGGAUGCUUAAGCAUCGGUAGGGGAGCAUUGCAUGCGGCUUAGAAGGCGGGGCGCGAGCCCCUCUGGAGCGCAUGGAAACGCAAAUGUAGGUAUAAGUAACGACAAGGGGGGUGGGAUGCCCCCCCGCCGAAAGACCAAGGUUUCCUGAACAACGCUAAUCGGUUCAGGGUCAGUCGGGUCCUAAGCAUAAGCCGUAUGGCGAGGGCGAUGGACGAAACGGUUAAUAUUCCGUUACUGUCUUGGUGUGUGACGCGGCGACGGAGUAGUGACACGGCCGCCUCCUGACGGAAAAGGGGGUUGAAGCGCAAAGGUGUCGAGGAAGGCAGGCAAAUCCACCUUCCGAGCCGAAGCGCGAAAGUACGCCGGGCCCUUUGGGGCAAGGCGAUAGUGCCGGUAAUCAGACUUCCAAGAAAACCCGCUAAACUUCAGCACCAAGUCACCCGUACUCCAAACGGACACACGUGGUCGGGUAGAAUAUACUAAGGCGCUUGGGAGAUUCACGGUUAAGGAACUAGGCAAAUUGACCCCGUACCUUCGGAAUAAGGGGUCCUCGCUUUUGCGAGGCGCAGAGAAUAGGUCCAGGCAACUGUUUAACAAAAACACAGGGCUGUGCCAAUUUGAAAGAAGAAGUAUACAGCCUGACACCUGCCCGGUGCCGGAAGGUUAAGAGGAGAGCUCAUCAGCGAUGAGAAGGCUUGAAUUGAAGCCCCGGUAAACGGCGGCCGUAACUAUAACGGUCCUAAGGUAGCGAAAUUCCUUGUCGGGUAAGUUCCGACCUGC